rnacentral:misc_RNA from 1 species
AAAGUCGUAACAAGGUUUCCGUAGGUGAACCUGCGGAAGGAUCAUUAUUGAAUAAAUCUGACGUGGUUGCAGCUGGCUCUCCGGAGCACUGUGCUCGCCCGUCACCUUUAUCUCUCCACCUGUGCACACACUGUAGUCCUGGAUACCUCUCGCCGCAAGGCGGAUGCGGGAUUUGCUGUGCCUCCGCAAGGAGGUCAGCUCGUCCCGAAUUUCCAGGUCUACGACACUUAUACACCCCAAACUGAAUGUUACAGAAUGUAAUCAUUGGGCCUAGUGCCUAUAAACCUAUACAACUUUCAGCAACGGAUCUCUUGGCUCUC